GAUGAACGCUGGCGGCGUGCCUAACACAUGCAAGUCGAGCGCGGUCCCUUUGGUGCUUGCACCAAAGACGACUGAGCGGCGGACGGGUGAGUAACGCGUGGGUAACCUGCCCUGUACAUAUGGAUAACAUGCUGAAAAGCAUACUAAUACAUAAUAACGUACAUUGAAGGCAUCUUCAUGUAUCAAAGCGUUAGCGGUACAGGAUGGACCCGCGUCUGAUUAGCUAGUUGGUGGGGUAAAAGCCUACCAAGGCGACGAUCAGUAGCCGACCUGAGAGGGUGAUCGGCCACAUUGGGAACUGAGACACGGUCCAA
rnacentral:rRNA from 1 species